UUUAAGACGAGGAUAACAAUUGGAAACGGUUGCUAAGACUGGAUAGGAAACAAAAAGGCAUCUUUUUGUUUUUAAAAGACCUUCUUAUGAAGGUAUGCUUAAAGAGGGGCUUGCGCCACAUUAGUUAGUUGGUAGGGUAAAAGCCUACCAAGACGAUGAUGUGUAGCUGGACUGAGAGGUUGAACAGCCACAUUGGGACUGAGACACGGCCCAAACUCCUACGGGAGGCAGCAGUAGGGAAUUUUCGGCAAUGGAGGAAACUCUGACCGAGCAACGCCGCGUGAACGAUGAAGUAUUUCGGUAUGUAAAGUUCUUUUAUUGAAGAAGAAAAAGUAGUGGAAAAACUAUAUUGACGUUAUUCAAUGAAUAAGCCCCGGCUAACUAUGUGCCAGCAGCCGCGGUAAGACAUAGGGGGCGAGCGUUAUCCGGAAUUAUUGGGCGUAAAGGGUGCGUAGGCUGUUAGAUAAGUCUAUAAUUUAAUUUCAGUGCUUAACGCUGUCUUGUUAUAGAAACUGUCUUGACUAGAGUGAGAUAGAGGCAAGCGGAAUUCCAUGUGUAGCGGUAAAAUGUGUAAAUAUAUGGAGGAACACCAGAAGCGUAGGCGGCUUGCUGGGUCUUUACUGACGCUGAGGCACGAAAGCGUGGGUAGCAAACAGGAUUAGAUACCCUGGUAGUCCACGCCGUAAACGAUGAGUACUAAGUGUCGGGGUAAAACUCGGUACUGAAGUUAACACAUUAAGUACUCCGCCUGAGUAGUACGUACGCAAGUAUGAAACUUAAAGGAAUUGACGGGACUCCGCACAAGCGGUGGAUCAUGUUGUUUAAUUCGAAGAUACACGAAAAAUCUUACCAGGUCUUGACAUACUCUGCAAAGCUAUAGAAAUAUAGUGGAGGUUAUCAGGGAUACAGGUGGUGCAUGGUUGUCGUCAGUUCGUGUCGUGAGAUGUUAGGUUAAGUCCUAAAACGAGCGCAACCCUUGUCGUUAAUUGCCAGCACGUAAUGGUGGGGACUUUAGCGAGACUGCCAAUUAAACAUUGGAGGAAGGUGAGGAUUACGUCAAAUCAUCAUGCCCCUUAUGAUCUGGGCUACAAACGUGAUACAAUGGCUGUGACAAAGAGUAGCUGAAACGCGAGUUUUUAGCCAAUCUCAAAAAAGCAGUCUCAGUUCGGAUUGAAGUCUGUAACUCGACUUCAUGAAGUUGGAAUCGCUAGUAAUCGCGAAUCAGCAUGUCGCGGUGAAUACGUUCUCGGGGUUUGUACACACCGCCCGUCAAACCACGAAAGUUAGCAAUACCCGAAAACAGUAGCUUAACUUCGUAAGAAGAGGGAACUGUCUAAGGUAGGGUUGAUGAUUGGGGUUAAGUCGUAACAAGGUAUCCCUACCGGAAGGUGGGGAUGGAUCACCUCCUUUCU
rnacentral:rRNA from 1 species